rnacentral:lncRNA from 1 species
AACCUUUGAGAAAUCCUUUCCAGAACCUUCAUCUGCUGCCGCAUCAAAAUUCAAAUUGAGGGAGUUGGACUGAAGCACCAAAAGCAGCAAUGUGAGUAAUAAUUUCAUGAUCAAAUUGGCUUUGGAAGGUAGCAGCUUAAGUUCACUCAACAGUUUUAGACCUGAACUUGCACAUUUCAUAACAAGUAGUGAUAUGUCUGUGGAUAAGCCUUUGCAAACAGUUCUAGUCAACAGGAGGAGUAAUUCUACUUGACAAGCAAGAAUAUUGAGCAUAUCCUCAGAAGCAUCCAGAACUGGUGAUAACAUCUCAAUGGUAGCAAGGAAAGAUUGGCAUAUAUUAUCUAUACAGGUGAAUAUGAGUUCAUUUUGAAUUUUCUCUCCAGUAGUAGCCCUCCCUUUUGACUGCAAAAUCAUGUACAAAAUAAAUAUUGAACAGAUAUAAGAUACCACAAAGAACAGGAAGAAGAAAUUUACUAAGAGUAAUAAAACUAAACAAGAAAGUAUCAGUUAAUUAAGAAACCAAAUGAAGUACAAGAAACCUGCAAUAUUAAUGUUGAAACACUUUUUCAUUCAAUCCUUUAAUAGAUAAAUGACCAAAACAAUUUUCUAAUCGUCCCUUGACAUUAUUAAUCAUAGUAAGAAAAGAUAAAAUAGUUUAAAAUCUUAAAAUACUGCUUCGUGGUAAAGAAGGAUCCUACUUUCCAUAUUUGAGUUGAGAUAUUGCCUUAUUUAGUUUCUUUUAUUCUCUUCUAUAGAUAGUUUGUUUCCAUCUUUAUGAUAUUGGCUCCUAUUGUUAUCCCUAUAAUUUCGAGAUCUUUGAUUGUAAGCAUUUGAUUAUAAAUACAUGAGACUGAGGGUUUAGUCCCUCAAGCAAUUCAAUCAUUUCAUUCAAAAAGAGUCACGCAUAAACCAACUGCAAGGCUCAAAUUUAUAUACAUGUAGAAGCAGUAUUUGGAACAGUUGAGCUUGCAUGCAGACAAUUAAACAUCUGUAGCUUUCUAACUAUUGUUCGGUUAGGAAAAUGUAAUGAAAGAAAAUCAAGAUUUUAGAUUCUCACAUCAUCAUGAUAGACAGCCAACACAGCUAUCAAUUCUUUUAAUGCAGAAAGCUUUGAACUUGAAAGCAACAUAACCAUGUUUGCAUCCUGCAGGAAACGCAGCAUGGUUUCUGCAAUUUCCUUAGAUGUUCUCCAAUCAGAACAAUCCCAAGCACCUAAGUUCAGAUCUGAUCGCAACUGUGUAAGGUCAAACAAGAACAUAUUCUUUGCAAAAAAAUCUUCACUGAACUGCUGUUGAUAGGAUCCCAAAAAAUUUGAUUCAACAAGAUACUGAGAUAAUUCUUUGAAGGGUCCGAUACCCAUUUUUCUCCCUUCAAGCUCUCCUUGUAAAUGAUAAUAAAGGUCAUUAAGAAUCAACUUCUUUAGUUCCUUCCCCUCACUGUACAAAUUAAGAAUAACGACCAUAUUAUGAUUGAUAUGGAAAAUACAAACCUGUUUUAGUUAGAUAACAUGAAUUCGAGACACGAAUCAUUUGGUGAAAAAAAACAUAAUUUUUUACUCAAAACCACUAAGAAUUUUAUUAAAAAAUGAGGUUUCCUGGAUUCUCAGUAGUCCAAUGAUAGCAAAAUCUGAGCCAAAAGAGUGUUCUGAAGUUAAUUGAACAUCCAAGAAAAAGGCAUGCAUCUUAUCAGAAAAAGAAAGAAAAAAAAGCAGCAUGCAUGAUUAUAUGCAGCAAAAUGAAUUGUUAACUGACGUUACAACAAUCCCAGAUAGUGUGUAAUUGAUAUAGAAAACCUUUAUUUAAGAUCUUAAAGCAAUAAUCCAAAAUGUCUAGUGACCUGUAACCACGGUGUGAAUACUGAGAUAGCAAUUCAGAGAAGGCGGGAUGAAUUGUCAGCUGCAAACAAUAAACAUUUUGUUAGAAAAUGUUGACAAAAUAGUCAUAAAGAUUAAAUUUUAACUUUUUGAAGCCUAACAUAUUCAUCAUGAUUUGCAUAAGACCGAUUAACAUGUUGCGAUAGUAAAGUAGAAUAAAUUACUUUCAUAGAUCAAAAUAGAAUAGACGUUAAACCUUCGUAAAAAUUCCAUGAAUCUUUUGAAGCAAGGACACGGCUAAACUUCCGGAGUCGUUAACUGCUAAUUUUAACAUCACAUGAACACAGAAUAAACUGGUGGCAACCUGAAAAUUUUCAUGCAUUUAACAUUAAAAUAAAGAUUACAAGUUUAUUAUGCAAAUCUAUAAUCGUCACAUAAAUAGCAUAAACACAGAAAUAAAAAGAAUUUUCAUCUUUUGAUUUGUAUUAUACAAAAGAACAUGUUGUAAAUAGAACCACAUUAACGCUCCACUUUCAAGUAGUUUAGAUUCUGUACAGCAAGUAGAAUAGAUUCAAUGCGUCUUAGGAAAUAGGGAUACUUUAGCAACUAAACUCAAAAUGUAUUAUUACCCUCUCUAAUCUUUCUACAUAAAUUAAACAUUCUGCUGGGCAUUAAUUCACUCAGGCAUAUUUGGAAAACCGAUCUUAUUUCUUAAUUCUCACACAUGCAAGUACUCAACAAUAAGAUUAUAAGGGUAGAGAAUGCAACAUAUACUGAACUUUAUAACAAAACAAUGACAUAGUACCAUUUAAGUAUAGAAUUAAGCCUAUUGUAUAGGAAAGACUACCACAACUGUUAAAUCAACAAGGAAAAUCAUAUCAAGCUAACCUUUGCACCAUCAUAUACAUCAUUAUUAUGUCGACAAGAAGUAUAUGUUUUUAUUAGUUUCUCUAAAACGGAGUCUUUGAACCAUGAAGACCAAACUCCCUUAAGAUCAUGAAAAUCUGUGGCUUUAGAUUUUUCAGUUUUUGUGGCAUUUUGCUCCUUGUCCUUAGAUUCUGAUGUGUUCUUCACAAGUGACUCUGCAUGCAACAACUUUUUCUGCAAGAAUAAUUCAUAUGCCAUGAUUCCCAGUAUGGCAGAUUGACAACGGAAACUGUAUGCCAGAUUAAGUGCAGCUUUUCCUUUCAGACUCUCAAAUAUGGGAUAUUCACUGCUAGCAGUUUUUGUGAUUGCAUUGGCCAAGUGCUUCCAGAAAUUUACAUGGCUUCUUAGAGACUCCAAGAGAUUUGCAUACUGGGGAGCCCCUUGCCAUAAGGCAGUCAUGAAGUUAAGCACGCAAAGCAGUAUGCGAGGCUUACUGGAGAUAAUGAAAAAAUUACAAUAUGAAGACUUAGUCAAAAGAAAUGUGUGACAACUGACAAGCAAGAUAAUCUACAAAAAGAACAGUCAAUAAGGAUGGAAAUCAAAGCAAAAACCAGACAAACCCUUCGUCCAACCACAACCCUCCGAAUUGUACCUUUUGAUCAGAUCAUCUGCCUGCUCAAUGUAGUUUAUAAGUGCAUCUAUCAGAACUGAACCUUUAGGCACAGAAGUUCCAUUUCUUUGUAGCUUUGCAUCAUCAGUACUUGAGUGGUCCUCAUUGUUCUCCCCCGGCGCCAAGAUGGAAACAAUAAAAGAAGGCUGCAAAAACGAAUGUUAUAUUAGAAACUGAUAAUUUAACACACGAGUACAGUGAAAAAAAGUCUAAUUGCGAAGGUCAUCAGCACUUUUAGAACAAACAAAAAAGUAUAUAAAAAAUACUAAUACUAUCUUACAAUAUUUUAAUCUAUGUUAAUAUUAUAUCUUAUGGUAGCUUUUCAUAUUUCCUUACUUUUCAUGUUUGGUUUCCUUAUUCAAUUAGAAUUCAUAAUAUUGUACAACAGCAUUUGAGAGGUACCACCUUCAGUGACCUAUAAUGUCACUAUUCCACAACUGAGUACAAGUAUAACAUGGUAGAGAGAAAAUAUAAUGUAUUGUCCCUCAUAUAAUGAAUAAUACAUCAAUUCAAUGUCGAGUAAAGCCCCUCUUAUAUAUAGAGUGGAGACCAAAGAGAAAACGGAACCUCCAAGUCUGUUGUAGGUAGUUAUAACUCAUAACUGCCUAAAAGAAAUAGUAAAUAUGCCGGUUGUACAUAGAGAGAAAAGAUUCCUUAGGUAAAAAAGUAUUUUAAAAAGUUGGCAACAAAACAGAGAUUUGUGCUACUGAAAGUCUGAGUGACUGAAAUUAGCAUUUACAAAAAAAUGAAAAUAUACACCAGACAAACUAAAAAUGGUAUCACUGCAAGUAAACUUGUAAUUAUUAAAUUCACUACAUAUAGUUUCAACCUGGUAGUUUGCUGCAGAAGUAAGCAGGUUAACUGUUGCAAUAAAGAGAUCUUCAUUUAAUUCUGAUUUCUCCCGUAGUAUGUAGCUCAUAGAGUGCCUCAAAUUUAUGAUCUAAAACCGAUUAGAAAAACCAUCAGUUAAAUCACAUUUAUUAACCAAGGGAACUAUGAAGUUGAGGAAACUGAAACUAACAUCCCAAACCUCUUGAUUAUCUGGAGCAAAGUAUGUGGUUUCACAUGAAAAUGAUUGGACACAAUCUGUUGUGGCAAAUAAUGUUGAAAUAAACCUAACAGCACCAAGUUGGAUGACCUGCAUAAGCAGCACAUCUGUUGUUAAACAACACAAUAUAAAAUCAGGUACUGUCAAGCAUAUACUGGCUAAAAGGGUAUAAUAAGUAACAAAUACUCCAUCAAGUAUCAACAAAGGUAUGCAGGGAUCUCUAAGAGAACAUUAAAUGCACAAAACGGCAUAUAGUUGAUGAAGAAAAAGCAAGAGUGAAAAAAAUAAGGCAAUACAAGAUUACAACAUGAAAAAAGAGACGACAAAUUGACAAUCCAAGUAACUAAAAACUAGAGAAAAUCUGGAAAAUGUGACAAAUAUGAUCAACGUAAUUUAAUUAUGCAGCUAAAUGUUAAUGCCAUUAAUACCAAUACUGUACACUGAAGAGUUCACAGACACAAAUUGAUUGAGGACAAGAAAGCGGACAAAAGGAAGAUGUUCAUUAUUGUUGAAUAAAAACUCAUGUAAUAAUACUGAAAAAUAAUCAGAAAAAUAUAAUGGUACUCCAAUUUGAGAAAAGUUAGAGUUCAUACAGGGUCUCGGAAGUAUGAAAUCAACGAUAUAGCAGACGUGACAACAGGAACUGGUUUGGUUGUGCAUGAGAACACUGCCUGGAGAAAAACAGGAAUGCUGGA